GUUUGAUUGUAUGUGUAUGUGCUAGUAUGUGUUGGUCUUCGACGGGUUUUGUACCCACUUUUGUUAUUUUAUAUAUUUUUGUUUUUUUGGAGUUUGGUCAGCACUAAACUUCUCCGUUUUAUACCAGGAAAGGCGAGAUGGUUGAUGUGUGGAGGAUCGGCUUUGGCUUUGCCUUCUUGUUGGCUAACGUUAGCUGACGGCGUCCGAACAUCAAGCAGGACAACUCUUACAAACCGCACAAAAAUUUAAAACAUACAGUCUACUUGCAGUGAAGCUGCUCAACAUUUACAUUACAUUCAAUCAUCUAACAGACUCCCAUCCAGAGCGACCCACAGAAGCAACCAGGGUCAACGCCCUGCACGUCGACAGGUCUCUCACAAGGUCAAAAACGGGAACCCGAAACCAGCGAAAUAUCAGCCACCGGCCCAAGCUCCCAAAUGCCAUGCCACCAGCCCUCCAAGAGCCCCCCCCCCCCCCCCCCCCCCCCCCACCCCCAG